rnacentral:rRNA from 1 species
ACAGCAGCCGCCACGGGAAUACGGAGGGAGCUAGCGUUGUUCGGAAUUACUGGGCGUAAAGCGCGCGUAGGCGGUUACUCAAGUCAGAGGUGAAAGCCCGGGGCUCAACCCCGGAACUGCCUUUGAAACUAGGUGACUAGAAUCUUGGAGAGGUCAGUGGAAUUCCGAGUGUAGAGGUGAAAUUCGUAGAUAUUCGGAAGAACACCUGUGGCGAAGGCGACUGACUGGACAAGUAUUGACGCUGAGGUGCGAAAGCGUGGGGAGCAAACAGGAUUAGAUACCCCCGUAGUCCCUGUCUCUUAUAC